UGCCAAACAGUGGAAAUUGGUGUUAAUCUAUUAAAUUUGGAACAAAAUUCCUGCCACCCCUGUUGUCUUACUUGCUUAAUUACUAACUUUUUAACAGCUUGAACUCUUUUAAAAUUUAUGUAAUUAUCGAGAGUUGGAUUUUGUUUAAACCUAAGGUAAGCCGCUUUACUAUCAUUGACAGCUGUCGCACACCUGUUAUUCCACCAAGGUACUGCAAUAUGUUUGUGCCUCUUUGAAGUAUUUGCACCGCUAUUUGAUAAGUUCCUACGUGGAACGGAACGUUCCACAGCUGUCAAAAUAAUUUUACAGAACCUAUUGUAAUUGUUUAAGGGUUCAUUGACAUCAUACUCGAAAUCCAAAAGUAAUUGAUUAACAGUUUCAGAAUAAAGAUCCCAAUUAACGAGACGUAGGUUUAUACGAUUUAACAAAAGUUUAUUAACUUCAUCUAUAGGAGCAUGUUGUUCACCUGACGGAGUUGAUGAAGAGUUCUUUGUGUUUAUUUUAGUAAAAGUCGGCAGGUGAUAACUUCCUAACGGAUCAUCAUGAACCGACCACUCGCAUUUUAAUGAUAUGGAUGAGGAUACCAUAGUUAAAUCAAGGCCAUUGGGUCUCCAAAUAUGAGAGCCAACAGUAGUAACUUGCUUAUCAUUUAAUAGUACCAAAUUACAUUCAUCUAAACAAUCAAGAAUGUCUUUACCUCUUGUAUUAGUGGAGGUACAACCCCACAUAGUAUGAUGUGCAUUUAAAUCUCCAGAUAUGAUAGUGGGUUUAGGAAGAGACUCCAAAAAGAACUUAAAUUUGGCUUUAGUAAAACUAGGUGUACUAUUGGUAGGACAGUAAAUACUGGCAACUGAAUACCAAGAAUUAUUAACUUCAAUACUAAUAGCUAUAGUUUGCAAAGAAUUGUCGAAAAAAGAGUGAAGUUUUUUAUAUCUAAUACUAUUAUGUAUAAUAAUCGCUACUCCAUUGUGGUUAUUACCACAAUCAUUUCGUUCUAUACAAUAAUCUUUAAUUUUUAAUUUGUAAUGUGGUUUUAGCCAAGUUUCUGAGAUGAGAGCAAUGUGAAUAUGAUGUUCAUUUAAAAAUUGUGUAAAAAUAUGUCGAUUGCUCAGUAGGCUCUGAGCGUUCCACUGUAUGAUAGUUAAUUGAUCUCGAUUGAAUUUUGUGAAAUAGGUGUAUUACCAAAAGUAUCAUAUAACACAUUCAAAACACUUUUAGUGUUAAUAGAUGUGUUCUUUGUGUUAUGUAGUGAAAUAAGUUUGAUUAUGCUUUCUAUUAAAAGUGAUAAACUCUUGUUAUCAGAAUUUAGAAUUGAAAUUAGGUCUACAUUUUUUUUUUAGGUUUGUUACCCAGUUUAGGAAAUAUUUCAGUGCUAAGUAUAUCUCCAAAAGAAGCAGGUCUGAAUUUAGAUCUAUUUUCAGCAAUUUUCUUUUGUUUAACAGGGCAUUGCGGUGAUACACUUGUGUGAUUUCCAUUGCAGUGUACACAAAUAGCGUUUUCCAUUCCAGUUGUACAAGUUUUAUAAUUAUGCUCACCUUUGCAGAUGCUGCAACGCUCAGAAUUCUUACAGAAUUUAGCUAAAUGUCCAUACCUCAAGCACCGGUAGCAUUGUUUAACUGGUGGUAUAUAUGGAGUGACAUUGUGCGCCAACCUCCAAUAUCCAGAUAUUCAGGUAAUACAGAUGCAGCAAAAGUAAUUGUCACGGUUAGAGUUGGCUGUAACACAUAUCCAUGAGUCAAGAUUCUGAGUCAGUAGAAGUAUCUUCCGAAUAUAUAUCCUUGUCAUUACAAGGUUCAUGGUCUACAUCACCUGAAUCGUCAUCUUUUUUUUCCUUUUUCUACAACUGCGCUUCCCCAUGAAUGCUAAUUAUAUUACUGUCGCUGAAUUUAGUGAAAAUAUAAUAUUUUAUUCAAUAAUAAGAAUUGAUAGAGAUAGUUUUAAUAAAUUAAUAAAAAAAAUUUAAAAAA